GGCUGGCAGUGGUCUUAAGCAUGCAAGUCAAACGGGAUGUAGCAAUACAUUUAGUGGCGAACGGGUGAGUAACGCGUGGAUGAUCUACCUACGAGAUGGGGAUAACUAUUAGAAAUAGUAGCUAAUACCGAAUAAAGUCAAUUAAUUUGUUAAUUGAUGAAAGGAAGCCUUUAAAGCUUCGCUUGUAGAUGAGUCUGCGUCUUAUUAGCUAGUUGGUAGGGUAAAUGCCUACCAAGGCGAUGAUAAGUAACCGGCCUGAGAGGGUGAACGUC
rnacentral:rRNA from 1 species